UAUUAAAAAUUUUAUUUAUUUUUAUUGUUAAAAACUGGUGUGGCUAACGGAAUAAUUAGACAAUCGUGUACUUUGUACUAAUGUAUAAGAAUUAAUUUUUAACAGUAAAGAUGAAUGAAAUUUUUAAUA
rfam:Gossypium raimondii Chr13_contig_1158, whole genome shotgun sequence.